rnacentral:rRNA from 1 species
GAUGAACGCUAGCUACAGGCUUAACACAUGCAAGUCGAGGGACCGGCGCACGGGUGAGAAACACGUAUCCAACCUGCCCUUUACUCGGGGAUAGCCUUUCGAAAGAAAGAUUAAUACCCGAUAUAAAGGAUGGGGAUGCGUUCCAUUAGGUUGUUGGUGAGGUAACGGCCCACCAAGCCUUCGAUGGAUAGGGGUUCUGAGAGGAAGGUCCCCCACAUUGGAGCUGAGACCCGGACCAAACUCGUACGGGAGGCAGCAGUGAGGAAUAUUGGGCACUGGGCUUUAGCCUGAACCAGCCAAGUGGCGUGAAGGAUGAAGGCUUAUGAAUCGUAAACUUCUUUUAUAUAAGAAUAUGUAUUAUAUGAAUAAGGAUCGGCUAACUCCGUGCCAGCAGCCGCGGUAAUUC